rnacentral:rRNA from 1 species
UACGAAGGGGGCGAGCGUUGUUCGGAAUCACUGGGCGUAAAGGGCGCGUAGGCGGCCCCUCUUGUCGCGUGUGAAAGCCCCGGGCUCAACCCCGGGGAAGUGCUUCUGAUACUGUUGAGCUUGAGUACUGGGAGAGGAUAGUAGAAUUCCAGGUGUAGUGGUGAAAUACGUAGAUAUCUGGAGGAAUACCGGUGGCGAAGGCGGCUAUCUGGCCAUGUACUGACGCUGAGAUUCGAAAGCGUGGGGGAGCAA